rnacentral:rRNA from 1 species
AUUGAACGCUGGCGGCAUGCUUUACACAUGCAAGUCGAACGGCAGCGCGGGCUUCGGCCUGGCUGCGCGUGUCGCACGGGUGAGUAAUGCAUCGGAACGUGCCCAGUAGUGGGGGAUAGCCCGGCGAAAGCCGGAUUACUACCGCAUACGACCUGAGGCUGCAAGCGGGGGACCGAAAGGCCUCGCGCUAUUGGAGCGGCCGAUGUGGGAUUUGCUAGUUGGUGGGGUAAAGGCUUACCAAGGCGGCGAUCCGUAGCUGGUCUGAGAGGACGACCAGCCACACUGGGACUGAGACACGGCCCAGACUCCUACGGGAGGCAGCAGUGGGGAAUUUUGGACAAUGGGGGCAAACCUGAUCCAGCCAUGCCGCGUGCGGGAAGAAGGCCUUCGGGUUGUAAACCGCUUUUGUUCGGGAAGAAAUCCUCUGGGCUAAUACCCCGGGGGGAUGACGGUACCGGAAGAAUAAGCACCGGCUAACUACGUG